rnacentral:rRNA from 1 species
AACCUAAAAGAUCGAAUGGGGAGAUUCAUCGUCAGCACAUUUUGUAUAUAUGCAGGCUAUGAUAUAGGUUACUACUUUUGUAGUAUUGCUUGUACAUUCUUGUAUAUUUAUUUGCAAGAUGUUGUCGGCGUGCACUUCUCCCCUAGUAGGACGUCGCGACCCGUUGAGUGUCGGUCUACGACCCAAGCGGGAGCUUUUAAUGAAUUUAAUUCAUUGAAAACCCUUGGUGUUUUCUGGCUGGCACUCGUCGGUAUACGUAUGGUAUUGAGUCGCAUACUAUAUGCGUCCCUGUCCAUCACAAGCGAGGUUAGUUACUGAUAGUGCGGACCUAGUGCCGUCGUUGGUACUAAUCAGCUGUUGGUUGUAUGGAAUUCUAGGACUGGCUCAUUGAAAUACCGGUCAGCGAUGCUACUGCUUUGGGUACUUUCAGGACCCGUCUUGAAACACGGACCAAGGAGUCUAACAUGUACGCAAGUCAUUGGGAUUUUUAUAAAUUAAACCUAAAGGCAUAAUGAAAGUAAAGAUCGUCCUUGUGUCGACUAAGGGAGGAUGAGCUAUGUUACGAGAUAGCUCCGCACUGCCCGGGGCGUCUCAUUCUCAUUACGA